GGCAAGAUGGCCGAGCGGUCUAAGGCGCCACGUUAAGGAAUCCACCCUUAAUCUCAGUAUCCGUGGUCCGAAAGGGCGUGGGUUCGAAUCCCACUCUUGUCA
rnacentral:tRNA from 1 species